rnacentral:lncRNA from 1 species
AUCCAAGCCCUCUCUUCCUUUCUCCAAGAGACUGGGACCUCUCUCAGCAUGUCUCUCCCUCUCUCCCCCCUACCUCUCCCUCUCUCUCCCCCUCUUCCUCCAUCGCCCUCUCCCUCCCUCCUCUCUUUUGUCUCUCUUCUUUUUCCCUCUCCCCCUCCAUCAUCUGAUUUCUUAAACUGAGGAGCGGAACCAAGCCAUUUCACCCUCAAUAAAGUCCGAUACACCCUGAACUGGGCAGUUCAGGAUGCUACCAUCUUCCUUGAUCAAAACCUUAUCUAUCUACUUGAAUUAUGUCUUCUUGUUGAAAAUUCUCAAACAUCUCACACCAAAGAAAGCAAAUAAAAGACUAAAAAAAUUGCAAGCAUUGACAACAUGCAUAAUCAAACCUUUAAGGUUCGAAAUUCAGAUAUGGAAAGAUUAGAUAAUGCUCAUAUUCAAACAAGAUUACUCACACAUCAAGAAAGGGGUAAAAAAAUCUUCAGAUUAUUUGCAAAGAAACUUUGCCUCAGAAUAUUUUGAGAUAAUACUGACAUUAAAAAUCUCUCAAGUACUUAACCAAGAAAUUAAGGCAAGAAAUUGAAGAUAUAGUGUUUGGUGAUCAAGCUCGUUGGCAACUAUUUCAAGUGAUGAAGCAUGUGGGCCCAAUGAGACAAUAGUUUAAUAGAUAAUAUCGGGAUAUGUCUAUCUUCUAUGUUGUGGAUGUGGCCUAUUCAAAGGAGGCAAUUAGUUGUAAUCUCUUCUUAAAAAUUUACUAGGAAACCAUAAUGAAGUCAAACAAAGACAGUAAAGUCUUAUAAAGUAGCUAGACUUUCUUCGCUCAUCAAUCAUAUUACAAAAUUUAAUUACAAGCACACAAAUAUUAUCUCUCAAAGAAAAAAAUUAAUUUAUGUUAUUUUUUCUUGUUCAUCUCUGUUAUGUUCAAGUUUCAAAUCCUUCCAAAAAAGGAUUGCUGGUGUUAGCAAAACCACAAGUGCAGCGGCAAUCAAGCUUACUAAAACUAGGAAACCCUUACUUCUGUCAAAGGAGUCCAGUAAUUGGACUUUGGUGGUGGAUAGUCAAAGUAUAUCAAGUUGUGUAAAUGUUUUUCGCAUUAAUUUUGUUAAAGAUUCAGAUGCUACUACAGAUGUUGUCUUUUUCAAAAUAAAUAAUCAAUUCCUUCUUCAAGCUUCAAAAGUACGAUGGAAAUUAUUUUGUCAAUUAUUACAUGUCGAAUAAAAGUCAUCUCUAUAAAUUUUUACCAUCGCUUAUCAAUCCAUCAUCGUAAUUACCCUUAUAUAAAUAGCUAAAUAUUUUAUUCUGCACUGAUCAGGGAGUGCAAAAGCCUGGUGACAAUAUUUAUGACUUGUUAACAUGACACUUGCUUAAGACUAUGCUAGCAAUCAUGCAAGGGCUUAAGACCGUAUGCGUCAUGCAACUCCUGAUGAAUUAAAAUCAGUAUACUUAAAUUAUGUUAUUAAUCAUGAAAGGAAAUGGGGCUGCAUAUGCUCAGCACCACAUAAAGGAUUAUAAUCAGUAUACUCAAGUUUGCAGCUAAAUUCUUAGACGUAAAUAGCCAAGCUUUAUGUCCUAAAUAUCUUGAGUUAUUCAUCAUAACUACAGUCCAAUACAUCUCACAAUUCUAAAAUAUCUAUGAUGAUGAUCAAUAAGAGUGCUAAUAUGCCACCCCAUAUCAGCUCUGAAUAGUUAAGAAUAGGAAUGAGAUCUGAUCUAUGGGAUGUGGAGAACAUAUUCUGCGGCAAAUUCCAUUUUGCCCUGCCACAAGUAUGGCUUGUGUGCUGCUUUAUAAAUAUUGGGAUUUGGAGGGUUAUAACAAGGAAACAUAUCUUUAUUUUCAUAACAAUUCCCUUCAUCCGGAAUGCUCUUUCAUACUAAUCAUAAUUUGACAAUAGUACCAGAUCUUCAAAAUUUCCCAUGUGAUUUCACCUACUCUUGAAAUAUAAAUAUCAAAACCUUGUCUAUCUACUUGAAUAAUGUCUAUCAACAACACUUGAAUAGAUAUAUUGGGAUAUGUCUAUCUUCUAUGUUGGGGAAUUAGCCUGUUUAAAGGAUGCCAUUAGCCGUAAUCUCUUCUUAAAGAUUUAUUAGGUAACCAUAAUGAAGUCAAACAGAGAUAGUAAAGUCCUAUAAAGUAGCCAUACUUUUUUGCUCAUCAAUCAUAUCACAAAAUUUAAUUACAAGCACAUGGAUAUUAUCUCUCAAAUAACAAAAUUAAUUCUGUUAAUUUGUCUUGUUCAUCUCUAUUAGGUUCAAUUUCUCAUCCUUCCAAAAAAGAUUACUUGUGUUAGUAAAACCACAAGCACAGUGGCAAUUAAGCUUACUAAAACUAGAAAUAUCCUUACUUCUGUUAAAAGGGUCUAGUAAUCGGGUCUUGUGGUGGAUAGUCAACAUAUAUUUUGUUAAUGUUUUGCUCCAUAAUUUUUUUAAAGAUUCAGAUGCUACUACAGACAUUGCUUUGUUCAAAAUAAAUAAUCCAUUCUUUGUUCACGCUUCAAAAGUAUGAUGGAAAUUAUUUGUCAACUACUACAUGUCUAAUAAAAGUCAUCUCUAUAAAUUUUUAGCAUCACUUAUCAAUCUAUCAUCUUAAUUACCUUUAUAUAAAUGGCUUAAUAUGUCAUAAUUCAUCGAUCAUGGAGUGAAAAAUCCUAAUGACAAUAUUUAUGACUUGUUAACAUGACAUUUGAUUAAGACUAUGCUAGCAAUCAUGCAUGGAGAUAAGGACAUACAUGUCAUGCAACCUCUGAAAAAUUAAAAUCAGUACUUAAAUUACGCUAUGGAUCAUGGAAGGNNNNNNNNNNNNNNNNNNNNNNNNNNNNNNNNNNNNNNNNNNNNNNNNNNNNNNNNNNNNNNNNNNAGCUUUAAGCCCUAACUAUCUUGAGUUAUUCAUCGUAAUUACAGCCCCAUACAUCUCACGAUUCUGAAAUAUCUAUGAGGAUUAUUAAUAAGAGUGUUAAUAUGCCACCCCAUAUCAUCUCUGAAGAGUUAAGAAUUUGAAUGAGGUCCGAUCUAUGGGACGUGGAGAACAUAUUAUGCAGCAAAUUUUCCAUUUUUCCCUGCCACAAGUCUCCUUUUUGUGCUGCUUUAUAAUUAUUGGGGGGCUAUAACAACGGCAACAUAACUUCAUUCUCAUAACAAUUCCCUUCAUCUGGAAUGUUCAUACAUAUUAAUCAUAAUUUGACAGAAAUAGUACCUGAUCUUCAAAAUUUUCCCUGAGACUUCAGCUAUUGUUGCAAUAUAAAUAUCAAAACCUUGUCUAUCUACUUGAAUCAUGUCUUCCUGUUGAAAAUUCUCAAACAUCUUACAUCAAACAAAGCAAAUAAAAGAAUAAAACAAUCGCAACCAUUAACAGCACACAUAACUAAAAAUUUAAAUCCCGAAUAUCAGAAACAGAAAGAUCAGAUGAUGCCCGUAUUCAAACAUGAUUACUCACACAUCAAUAAAAGGGUAACAAAUCUCCCAGAUUAUUCGCAAAGAAACUUUGCCUCAGAUUAUUUCGAGAUAAUUUUGACAUUAAAACUCUCUUGAUUACUUUAACCAAGAGAACAAGAGAAGAAAUUGGAAAAAAAAAAUCUCCAAGUUCUGCAAAAAAAAAAGAGAGACUUUGGAGGAAAUUACAUACUUUCUCUACGCCCUUUCCACUUUCAAGAAUUCAAACUGCCUGAAAUCUCAAAAGGAAAAAUCCCUCAACGCACCAAAGAAAAUAAUUAGAAAAACAAAAACAUAACUUUUUUCCCCAACAAGUCACCUUUCCUUCUCCCCUCCUCUCGACCUCUUCUCCAACCAUCAAACCAUUCUAGAGCAUCACCAAGGACAUAAGUUAACAUUGAUAAAACCACUAAAACCGAAAUUCACCAAAUAUAAGAGAUCUUUAGACACCAAAAAGGGAAUAAAAUCACAAAAACCUUAUAAUUUUUGCUUUCCCCGAUUCCCCCCCC